GUAAGCACAUUCAUUAAUAUGAACUAAACCGUAUUGAGCGCUGGAAACUUUUAUUGUGAAAAAUAUCCUCCCGGUUGUGGUCUGUUGUUGCUGUGUUCCCACAGCGUGUUGUGUUUGGGGGAAGCUCUGAAGCGGACACUCAGUCUGAGGUUAAAGAGCUGUAAGUGCUGCUUUAAGCUGCUUUCAGUCGUUAUAUGUCAGCGUAACUGACUGAUGAGUGUUUUUAAAUGUCUGUUGGAGCCUCACUGAUGGAGGUACUGCUCGUCCUGCAGGGGUUUAGAGGAGGAGCUGCAGUAAAGUCGGUAGGUCGGUAAAGUUGGGCUGAUGUUGGAUAUUCAGCGGAUAUUCGCGUCUCGCCCCUCCUGUCGCUCACAAACCGCCUCUUAAAGAUUCUGAAAGAACAUUUUCUAAAUCUGGUAAAACAGACAACAAACUACAAUCAUUACAAUUACUUAGAGUUCUCGAUCUUUCCAUUUCGCCGAGGACUUUUGGGGAAAAUAGCUGGAAUCGCUGCAGGAGGCGCCGAAUACGGUCCAGUCUCUGCUCCGGUCUUCAUGAACUGCCAGCCAAAGUCAACGGAGGCAAGAAAAAGCUAAACAUUUCUGAUGUCAGAUGGUCUGGUUGUAUGGUUGCACAUAAAACUGUUCUUCUCUGGCUUCUGCUCUGA
ensembl:lncRNA